rnacentral:rRNA from 1 species
AUUGAACGCUGGCGGCAUGCCUUACACAUGCAAGUCGAACGGCAGCACGGGAGCAAUCCUGGUGGCGAGUGGCGAACGGGUGAGUAAAGUAUCGGAACGUGCCCAGUCGUGGGGGAUAACGUAGCGAAAGUUACGCUAAUAUCGCAUACGAUCUAUGGAUGAAAGCGGGGGAUCGCAAGACCUCGCGCGAUCGGAGCGGCCGAUAGCAGAUUAGGUAGUUGGUGGGGUAAAGGCCCACCAAGCCGACGAUCUGUAGCUGGUCUGAGAGGACGACCAGCCACACUGGGACUGAGACACGGCCCAGACUCCUACGGGAGGCAGCAGUGGGGAAUUUUGGACAAUGGGCGAAAGCCUGAUCCAGCCAUGCCGCGUGCAGGAUGAAGGCCUUCGGGUUGUAAACUGCUUUUGUACGGAACGAAAAGGACUGCCCUAAUACGGUGGUCCCAUGACGGUACCGUAAGAAUAAGCACCGGCUAACUACGUGCCAGCCGCCGCGGUAAAAC